rnacentral:rRNA from 1 species
GAUGAACGCUAGCGGCAGGCCUAACACAUGCAAGUCGAGGGGUAGAGGUUGCUUGCAACCUUGAGACCGGCGCACGGGUGCGUAACGCGUAUGCAAUCUGCCUUGUACUGAGGGAUAGCCCAGAGAAAUUUGGAUUAAUACCUCAUAGUAUCUUUUCCCGGCAUCGGGAGAUUAUUAAAGUUCCAACGGUACAAGAUGAGCAUGCGUCCCAUUAGCUAGUUGGUAUGGUAACGGCAUACCAAGGCAAUGAUGGGUAGGGGUCCUGAGAGGGGGAACCACCACACUGGUACUGAUACACGGACCAGACUCCUACGGGAGGCAGCAGUGAGGAAUAUUGGUCAAUGGGCGCAAGCCUGAACCAGCCAUGCCGCGUGCAGGAUGAAGCAUCUAUGGUGUGUAAACUGCUUUUAUACGGUAAGAAACACCGGUUCGUGAACCGGCUUGACGGUACCGUAAGAAUAAGGAUCGGCUAACUCCGUGCCAGCAGCCGCGGUAA